rnacentral:tRNA from 1 species
CAGGUCGUCGCGCAGGGCCGCGGCGAGGCCGCGCUGCCAGCGGGGCAGGUUGAAGGCGAAGACGAUGUCGCCGGUGUUCGGGUCGACCAGGCCCGG